GUAUAUUGGCGAUUUCUUGCCCACAGCGCUGUUUGGGUGGCAUCCACCCUUCCCUAUACACGACAGCUCGCUGUUUCCCUGUUCCACGCUGAAACGGGGCUGUGCCGACCUGCGGUGACAGUCUCGGUGGCACCAACGGCGCCGAAUCGCUCGCACGCAUGCCCUGAGAAAAACCUUGCACUCUUCCUCACUCCUUUCUGCAGAGAGAAGCCGCAUCCGCUCAACGCACACAAUGAGCCUUUUCGAGCGUCCUCAUCGCCUGAUGUCGGUAUCUAGUGUAGUGAUGGGGCUGAAGCCGGAGACACUACGCGAGGUGGACGACUACGCGGUGUGGAUGGAGAAGCUCCGCGCAGAACUCGUCAGGGUUUACGGGGAGCAGUUCAUGCAGUCGGAGGUAUCGGACAUUACAUACGCGACCUGCGACAAUCCGAAUCACUUUUCCUCUCGUAUCACCGAGGGUGUCUUCGAGCAUCUGCGUUCCUACAAGGCGCUCCUUGCAAACACUGAUUCCAUCAACAGGCAGCUGGCAGAGCGAACGGAGCUGCAGCAACUCAUAGAGUCUGCCAUCAGCCAGAACACCGAGGACGGCAAGGCUCUCCGUCAGCAGCAGCGCGAGCUGCGCAACGUGAAGGAAAGCAUCGUUCAGCUCACUCGGCAGGCGACAGAGCUCAAGUACCAACUGGCCUGCCUCUCGCAGCAGCUUACAAACGUCUUCAAGGCGGAAGUUGUCCGUGUCUCUUUUGCGUGAAAUCGAUGUAGGGCACGCGUGAUGCGGGCGUGAGUGUGGGCAAAGCAUCCUGCCGAAGGAGCUGCACUGGCGAGUCGCAGAGAACUCUGCUGCCCAAGGAUUGAGCACGUGAGCCGGUUGACCGUUUCACUCAAGACCACCACAUUACUUAUGCCUCCCGCCUCCGCCUUCUCGCCCUCCCCUGGGAUCGCUCAUCCGUUGUCUUAUGUUUGUAUGCUGGCGAUAUUUUUUUUCUUUUUGCAGGCUCAUCCCUUCGUUGAGAGUACCGGGCACUUUCGUCGGGAGGCCACUUGUGAAUGAUGCACACAAGCACGCAUGUGCGACGGCCAAUCACGUCUUCUUCGUUCCUUCUGCGGCUCGACUCUGGCUGCGGGUGACGGCGAGACCCGCAGUACCUGGGGUGCACGUUGUUAUUGAAUGCUGUAAGCCUUGGUGUGACUGUCACAACCGCUGCUCGUAUAUCUUUACCCCCCCUGCUCUUCGUCUCCCAUGUACGCCCACUUUUCCAUGUAGGAGAUAGACGUGUCCUGCCGUGCGUGACGGGGCGUUUUCACCACCACCCCUUUGCUUUCUCUACCUUAGCGUGCGCUGCACCUCGGUGUCUAAAAAAAUGUGUCGGACACUCUCAGUAGAGAAGCAGGUGCAGUGGCACAAACGGAAGCAGGCAAAACGGUUUAUAGUGUACGUCGGUUUCUUUUUUUUUCAGUUCGUCUCUUGGUGAGAAUCGCGAUGCCCGUUUCACCAAAAGAUGCAAGCAUGUGAAAAAAGCCUCGAACUCAAGUCGCGCUCAAUUUGGUGCAGAUGCGCAGCUUCAUAAAUCUUGUUCGUGUGCGAUUAUGUAUCUCCAGGCACGCAGAGAAGCAUAGAAGGCCAUCCCUGGCCCUCUCCGUUGCGUACGCCCAAACUCGCGCACCUGUUGCAUCGAACGUGCCGCAUGCCAAUUCGAACCUACACGGCUAUGCUUUCCUUGCUCUCGCUCGCCCCAUAAUGACGAGAGACAGUUCAGCGUGUUAUCCAGAUCCCGUUACCUACAUUUUGUGAGGAGCCCACGCGGCACCUCACCUCUGUCCCCUGCCAAUGUCAGAACCCUACUUCUUCUGGUGCGGACAGGGUCAAGCACCGACGACGUAGCGGCUGUCGGGGCGGUGUACCACUGCUGGCGUCGGCGACGCGGCCGUGGAUAGCGUUGUGCUGGGGCGGCCUGCAACCGUGCACACGUCUGCGCCAUCCAUAUGAUUGGGCAGCGUGCCAGAGCGACUCGGGCGCAUGUCUCACCCGGCCCUCGCGCACUGCCUGCUGGUGCGGGUGGGGGGGGGGGGCUGAGCCAUGCCCCGAGGAGGGAUGCACGAGGGCUGGCGGCCGGCAUGAUGGGGGAGCGGCUGUGAGGCGAGACCUGCGAGGCAAAGAGAGGGGGAGAGAGAGGUUGGUAGGGCACGAGGCAGGGGGGCCGUGCUCUCAGAUGGCUGAGUGGGCGCACUGCUGCAGCGCGUGUGUCCACGACUGCUUCGCACCACGCUGGUGGGACCUGUGCGCCUGCGGGGCUCGGGUGGCGUUUGAUCUCCUGUGCUGUAGCGGAGAAGGGGCACGAGGCGUACCACUUACUCGUGUGUGUAUGUAUAUAUGUACGUAUAUGUAUCUCUCGCGCCUUCGUUUUGUUUCGAUGCUUCGCCCUCUUCAGCUCUCUCUCUCUCAUUCCGUUUCUCCUGCUCAUUCGCUCUUCGUUCUCUGGUCUCUUGCGCCGCCCCACGACCGGGCGCCGCGCCGCGAUUUCAUUUGGUGGCUGCUGCGCACACUCUUGUGGUCGCGGAAG
rnacentral:misc_RNA from 1 species